CCUACGGGAGGCUGCAGUGGGGAAUAUUGCACAAUGGGGGAAACCCUGAUGCAGCGACGCCGCGUGAGUGAAGAAGUAUUUCGGUAUGUAAAGCUCUAUCAGCAGGGAAGAAAAUGACGGUACCUGAUUAAGAAGCCCCGGCUAACUACGUGCCAGCAGCCGCGGUAGUACGUAGGGGGCAAGCGUUCUCCGGAUGUACUGGGUGUAACGGGAGCGUAGACGGCAGCACAAGUCUGGAGUGAAAUGCCGGGGCUUAACCCCGGAACUGCUUUGGAAACUGUGCAGCUGGAGUGCAGGAGAGGUAAGUGGAAUUCCUAGUGUAGCGGUGAAAUGCGUAGAUAUUAGGAGGAACACCAGUGGCGAAGGCGACUUACUGGACUGUAACUGACGUUGAGGCUCGAAAGCGUGGGGAGCAAACAGGAUUAGAUACCCCUGUAGUC
rnacentral:rRNA from 1 species